AAAAGUUAUAAUAACUCAACUGCCAGACCUUGAAAACAAAUCUUAUCUGAGCUCAACGUAAUGUUUUAAUCCCCGGCAUUACAUGGGUGCACAGAGUCCAUCCAAACAUAGACUAAUUUAAGAUUGUGAGUCCCUCAGGCCACCUUAUCUCAGAUACUGUACCAAUCCUGCUGAGGCAAUUUAGGUGACUGAUGUCUUGGCAGUUGGAUGGUGUCUCAUACCUUUAUUCCUAAGCUAUCCAGUUAUCUGGCUGGGCCAGCUCCAAGUACCAAGCCUGCCACCUUUAAAAGUCACAAUUUUAAGGAGAUAUAUCGUUAAUGGGUUUCCAUUCCCUUCUACAGCGUAAGGUUGUUAGGAACACAUUCUGGAAGAUUAGGAGCUCUGUGUCUUGGUAGUUUAUAGGGCCCUUAUUGCUCCAUUUCAUAUAGCUUCUUUCAUUUGAAAAUGGUGGAAUCGAACUUUGAUAUCUCCUGGGGCAGCAUUGUCUGUUCUGAGGGGACCUAUAUUAGGUGGCAAACAUGUCUUCCUAAAGCCCU